AGAGUUUGAUCAUGGCUCAGGAUGAACGCUAGCGGCAGGCCUAACACAUGCAAGUCGAGGGGCAGCACGAGGUAGCAAUACUUUGGUGGCGACCGGCGCACGGGUGAGUAACGCGUAUGCAACCUACCUCUAACUGGGGCAUAGCCCGAAGAAAUUCGGAUUAAUACCCCAUAAUAUCAUGAAAUCUCAUGUUUUCAUGAUUAAAGUUCCGGCGGUUAGAGAUGGGCAUGCGUGCCAUUAGCUUGUUGGUGAGGUAAUAGCUCACCAAGGCAACGAUGGCUAGGGGGCCUGAGAGGGUAGUCCCCCACACUGGUACUGAGACACGGACCAGACUCCUACGGGAGGCAGCAGUGAGGAAUAUUGGGCAAUGGGCGCAAGCCUGACCCAGCCAUGCCGCGUGCAGGAUGACGGCCCUACGGGUUGUAAACUGCUUUUAUACAGGAAGAAUUUCCCCGACGUGUCGGGGAUUGACUGUACUGUAAGAAUAAGCAUCGGCUAACUCCGUGCCAGCAGCCGCGGUAAUACGGAGGAUGCAAGCGUUAUCCGGAUUCAUUGGGUUUAAAGGGUGCGUAGGCGGGAAAAUAAGUCAGUGGUGAAAUCUUGCAGCUUAACUGUAAAAUUGCCAUUGAUACUGUUUUUCUUGAGUAUAGUUGAGGUGGGCGGAAUGUGUAAUGUAGCGGUGAAAUGCUUAGAUAUUACACAGAACACCGAUUGCGUAGGCAGCUCGCUAAACUAUUACUGACGCUCAGGCACGAAAGCGUGGGGAGCAAACAGGAUUAGAUACCCUAGUAGUCC
rnacentral:rRNA from 1 species